rnacentral:lncRNA from 1 species
GGGGCCUUCACGGCAGAAUCCCUGGGUGCCUUGAGCUGAGCUGUGACGGGGCUGUGCUGUGAUGGGGCUGCCGAGUCUUACUCAUUGCCCCACCACCACCACCAUGUGUUCUUGGCUCUGGAGCCUCCUUUUUGUUAGUAAAAUUUCAUUUAUUUAGAACAAUUCAAGGUCAGCAGCCGAACUGAGACGGGUGUACAGAGCGUUCCCAUCUGCCCGCGCCCGGUUUUCCCAAGGAUCUCAGCGUCUCACGUCCGUGUGGGGCCCUGGUUACAAUUCAUCAGCCAAGACCCCACCUUAGGAACUCAAGUCCGCACUAUUCAGAGUCCCUUAGUUCGUCCCCUAAUGUCCUGCUGUGGCCCCAGGACCCCAUCCAGGAGCCCACAUGACGCUCGGGCAUCACAUCUCCUUGGGCCCCUCUGGGCUGGGGUGGCUCCUCAGACUUUCCUUGUUUGGGGUGAACUUCACAGGUUUCUGUUUGUUUGUUGUUUGGCCUUUUUAAGGCCAUACGUGCAGCAUAUGGAGGUUCCCAGGCUCGAGGUUGAAUCAGAGCCACAGCAGCCGGCCUACACCGCAGCCACAGCAACACGGGAUCCAAGCCCCUUCUGCAACCUACACCACAGCUGACGGCAACGCCAGAUCCUUAACCCACUGAGCGAGGCCAGGGAUCCAACCUGCGUCCUCGUGGGUAUGCGUCGGGUCUGUUACCGCUGAGCCACUACGGGAACUCCCGAACUUAGCAGUUUUGAGGAGGGCUGGCCAGGUUUUGGUGGCGUGCCCCUUAGGUGGGGUUUGCCUGGUGUGUUUCUCGUGGUUCGUCCGGCUGGGCGUUGGGUUUUGGGGGGGACCACAGAGGGGAGGAGGGUCCCUCUCACCCCGACGCAUCGCGGCUGCGUGCCGUCGCCAGGGUCUGUCACCGGCCACGCGGAGCUUGGAGGUCGUGUCUCCCCGGAGUCCCUUUCCCUCCUCUGCUCUGGUCUCCUGGCCCCUUCAUGGGGGCCGCCCAUAUGGAACCACGCACCUCAGCGAUGCCCAGCUAAUUCGAGCCUGGUACACCGUAGGUGCCUCAUUAACCGUCUCUGAACGGAAAGGAGCAGGGAAAUCAACCCUGCGCUGUUGGCCUCGUUAGGAAUGAGGUUCUCCCUUGAUUGGAAUCCGACCCUCGGCUUGUGGUCUAAUCAAGCUCAGCUGCUCCCUCCAGCCUGGAUGGCUGGCUCGGCUCCCUCAUGGCCUGGGGGGCUCCCACGGUCCCCCACUCCCAGCCUCUGCCCCCCACCAGGAGGGUACCCCCAGCCAGAGGGGCUACCGGCUCCCCCACAAACGCCCUAUUUUGAACCCCACGGAGACCUCAAAAUCACCCCAGCACAGAAAGACCCACAACAACAGAACAGCAAGGGAGGGUUGUGGUCGUGGCUGUCCCCAGCCCCUCCCCGCUCGGCCUCAGGGGCCGGGUCUCUGGAACAUUCCACCCCUACCCCACUCUGGCUGCUUUUGUCUGCUGGCCUGGUGUCCAUCAAAGCCACGAGCAGCCUUGGAGCCUGCAGGAGGUGGCACCCUGCCCUAGCGACUGUCCCCACCCUGCAGAGAGGUAAACUGAGACGCAGAGAGGGACACGCCCUACAUCACGUCCCCCCGUGCCCCGUGGAAAGGUGCACUCGAACCCAAGCCCAGCUGCGAAGCACACUGCCUCCCAGUGACUGGGGGCCCCUCUGUUCCAUGACCCAGCAAAAGCCGGUCAAGUGGACAGUGGAAGGGGCUUGGCCAGGUCCCAGCGAGCCAGCCACCCGGCCUGGGCAGGUCUGGGCAGGUGGGGGCAGUCUUGUCCCUCAGGUGGUGUGGGCAGAAGCCUCCACCUCCCUCUUCCAGGCGGGGAGGGGCUUGGCAUGGGGGGGGUCCCCAAACUCUGCUUCUUAUUCGCAAGACCUAGGGGGGCUGUUGGAAGGCACGGUUGGGGAGACCCUGGCCAGCCUCACACUCAGAAGCAGGGGGAAAGCUGGCUGCUGAGUCAGGAAAGCAGGGGUCCUGACAAACACCCGGAGGCUGCCCCCUGCUCUCACCUUCUGUGGCUCCCUACUGCCCCCGAGGGUCCGGAUUCUUUAUAAGGCCUGGCAGGUGCGCAAGCACUGCCUGAGGCCCUCGUCAGCCCCCUGACAGCCCCUACCUGCUGUCACGCGGCCUCCACCCUGUCACACUGGCUACGCCUCUGCAGGGCCAUCCCCACGGGGAUUCUGGUUGCUGCCUCGGGACCCCAAAAUGUCCCUACUUUGAUCAUCGUGUCCAUGCAGUUUUUUAAAAGUCCCUCCCAAACAGGGACCGUGUGAAGGCUGCCUAGACCUUGUCAGCUGUCUGGAUCCUUAACCCACUGAGUGAUGCCGGGGAUCGAACCUGUGUCCUUACAGACAUCAAUCAGGUUCAUUACCACUGAGCCACCAAGGGAAUUCCCUGAAUUUCGUCUUGAGGCACAUGAACCCCGAGGUCAGCAUCACGGGAUACGGCCCGAAGCAGAUACCUUAGUUUUCUUCUAGCAAAAUUCACAGCUUCCUGUUUCCCAGAUAAAAGACUGAGGCCAGUCAGAUCGGGGACAGAGUUGGUUUUGAUGAGCUUUGUAUGAAUAAAUCAGAAACAGGCGGAGGAAAUACCCUGCAGCCUGCCCACGCCGCCAGGGCUGAAAACCCAGGGGAAACGCAUCAAGGGCAGAAGCCCGGGCCAACCCCAGUUCCAGCACAAAGCUCCCUGGGGACCCCACAGGCCGAACACGUUCCUGGGAUCCAGCAGCUGGCGGGGCGGGGUCCAGGGCGGGAGAGUGUGCGGCCAAUCAGGUGCCUGGGGAUGAGUCACCCUCAGAGGCAACCCCGGGAGCUCGAGGCCGGAGCCAAGAUCAGCGCGGCCGCAGCCCAGACCCUCUCCUACAAGUCUGCCCGGGCCUCGCUUUACCUGCCCGUCAAGUGGGAGCACUUGCUGGAAUGGCCCCAGUGGGGCCAGAGAGGCGGCCAGUCUCAGCAGCGCGGGCGUGCGUGCUCUGCGGGGAACGUUGGGGUCACCGACUUUGCACAGGUCGGGUACUAAGAGUAUCCGACUCCCAGCCACUGGCCACAAACCUGUUUUCCCUCCGUCCCAGUGACUCAGAGACUUGGAAACCGGGCAACUUGUAGCUGUGCCUGUUGGCAUUGCCCAGAGCGGAUGCCCCUCGAACCUCCUGGGUGCCCCCCAACACCCCCUCGGGCAGGGCGAGCCCGAAGCCAGCUGGCAAACACAUCAGCUCCCCAGGCCUGGCUGAGACGGGCACCCCACUUUCAGGCUGGGUCACAGGUCUAGCAACUGUGUACAGGCUGGGGUGGGGGUGCUUCCACAGCACCAGGGAAGUGGGCGACGGAGGAUGAGAGAGGGAGAGAGGGUGCAGGGGGACCAGGGAAGGAGCCAGGGGCCCAAGGGUGCUGAGCAGCCAGGAAAAGGGCGGGAAGCCCAGAGACAGGUCUGACCCAGAACCACAGCCCCCGCCACUCAGGGUGCCAGGCACACUCCUGACCCACCCCCCCCCCAAGCCCAACUCCCCAGUUUCCAGUGAGGGCAGCGGGGGUCGGGGAGAGGCCUCAGAGAGGAGAGUUACAGCCCAGGAGCAGGGAGCUGGGCUCCCCCAGAAGGUCCCCCAGGGCUGGCACGGAAGUCCCUGAGAUGCAUGAGGACUCGUCCCCAGACACUGGGAACAAGGGCCACCAGCACCCAGGGCCCCGCCAGCCCCAGGGGCCUGGGUCGCCCACCUGGAGGGACAGGGCCGGGGGUGAAGGGACGGGGGGGGGCUCGACAGUGAGGGGUGGCAGCCUCUCAUCCGUGGCAGGUUUGCACCCCCACCUGCCAGGGCUCCAGAACCCUCCUUACUCUGAAGGAUUCCCUGAGGCCCCAGGGCCACCGGAGGUGCCAUCAGGGUGGCAUCGGCUGUUCACUCACGUAUGUUGACAUCAGCAGUUGGCCCCCCACGGCUUCCAGCCUCGGCCUCUGAACCCCCUUUAACCCCCGCAGCCCAAGCCUCCAUCCCAUUUCACACCCCAGGAAACCGGGGCCUCCGCACACCCAGGCCCUGCAGAUGCAAGGGUCCCACGCCCCACCCUCGCUCGGCCUGGAGAUGCACCUUCGCCCUCAUCCUGGGGCUGAGGCUUGGUUCCAGGCACCUCCCUGCUGAGAGGCAAACCCUCAGACUUGGGCCCUCAGCGCCCCUCUCCCCGCUGCUUUAGGCCAGAACCUCAGGCCUGCGGGCGGCAUCCCUCAGAGCACCUGCCUCUCCAGGCUGGGGCAUCAGGCCUCCAAUAAACAACGUCAUCGAAAGCUUCUCUCUCGAACCAGAGCACCCUCCUCUUCCACCACGUUUCCUUUUCGCUCUGGCUGCCUGGAGGCUCAGCACCGCAUUCAGGGCCCACCGCACCGCCUCUGCUUGCUUCUCCACCCAGCCCUGCCCUCUGGGGUCGGCUGUGUUGGCCCAUCCCCUGUCUGUCUUCUUUGAUAUGCAUGAGUCCCUGGCAAACCUCCUUGGACCUGGGCCCUCAGACCUUGAACUUGCUCUGCUGAAGCUUGCAGCAGUGGCGCUGUCUCCACCAAGGCUGAUGUCCAAACAGGCCACGCGUGGGCUCAGCGGGCAGUAGGUCCUAAGGAUGCAGGCCUGGGGGAAAGGAGGGGUGAAGGGAGAGGACAGGGGGUGCCCAGCGCCCUUGCCGACGAGGCUUGCUGGAUGUCCGUGGGAGGUUGUUGCAAAGGCUAGAAACCGGAGGGGCUGGAGGCCGUGGCAGUGGGCAGAGGAAGGGGCUCCAGGAAGAGGCCAGGACCAAGGUCAGGCUCCAAACGACCAAGAGCCGGGUGGGGAACGGUCCCCAGAGGGCCUGCCCGUCCCCCCACGGGACAGCUCUGCUUUUCUCUCAAACCAGGACCCCCAGAACCCAGGUUUAAGCAGCUGUCCCCUUUGGGCUCCAGUACCCCCUCUGCGGCCAUCUGUGGGGCAGGUCCUGGGGACCGAGGGGUCACCUGGCCCCUGCCGGUGGGGAAGCACUGUCUCUGGGGGAGGCAGCCGGCAUUAGCCUCCAGAGGGGACGGAAAAGAAACCCCCCCUGUCCCCAUAGCUCCAACCCUGUGUCAGGGAGCGGCUGAGCGGGGGGCGCAGUCCCCAGACUCGGGUCCCUCCGCCCGCCUAGCUUACAAGGCAGUCAUGAUAAAACAGGGCCUGUUCCGUCAGCAGCACAAUGGCCCGCGGAGACUGGGGGGGUGGCUUCACGUCACCCCCGUGCUGGUUCCCAGGCACAGUGUUCACUGGGGACCCAGCCCGGGGGUGCGGGCGGCCCAGGUUCAAGGGCACACGUCCCACAGGAGGCGGAGCCCAGCUGGCCCUUUAAGAAGGCCGGGGGCCGCUGCUGGCACAGCGCACAGCUGGCCCAGCGCAGAGACGGCACGUUCCUGAUCCUUCUGGAAGGCUGAGUUGGAAAGGAGACAAAGUGUCCUUGCUCAGCUCAGUAAACAAGCCUGAAGUGUUUUGAAAGCCUCUGCCGAUGUAAAUGACUGUGAAAUAAAUGUAAGAAUUGC